GGGGGAGGAGGAGGCUGGGCGUCCAUGCAUCAGGGGAAGGGCCGUGGGGCUACCUGCUCCUCCACUCAGCCUUCGGUCCUUCAAGUACGCAACUAAGAGAGAAGACAGAGCCGGAGAGGGGGCGGGGAUGGGGGAGACACAACACAGUGAAGAGCGUGGUCCGCUGAGUCAAGGGCAUUGAGAUGAGCCAGAGAGAUGGGACAAAGGACAGGCACAGAGAGGCUGGGGGCAGGGCCAGAGGCUUCUGGAAGCCCACUCCUGCCUGCCCACCCAGCAGUGGCCCCCAGAAGGAUCUCUGGCCCAAGGAAGCCCUGACAGGUGGGGUGCUUAUCCCCUCACCAUUCUCCUAGGCCUCAGUCUCCUGCAUACAGAAUGGGGGAGGCCUGCCCGCUCUGUGCCCUUCCCAGCUUGGGGCUGCCUGGUGGAGUUUCUCCCCAGGACCCUGAGAACGCGUCUCAGCGCCUGACAAUGUUCUUCCGUUCACCUCGCAAAUGCUUGCUGUGCCCUGAUUCCAGACUCUGUGCUCCUGCGGAGCCUCCCUGUGGGCCCUAGGGCUCUGCCCUGCUCCAGAGAGCAUUCUAUUCCUGGGUGUCCUCCCCAGCCUUCCCACAGGCAGCCCUCCUGUUUGCCCUGGAGAUAGCUCCAGAGGCUGAAGUCUGGAGGGGAACAAAAAACAAACUGAGAAGAGGAAGUUUGCCUCCUGGCAGUGGGGACCUGGAGGAACAGGAAGUAUUUGAAGGCUUCAGUCAGCUUCCCUGGCUGCGGAGGGCAGGACAAGCACAUGCUUUCAUUGGCUGCCUAGGAUUAGCAGGCCUCCCCAGCCAGAAGGAUGGGGGCUAUGCCAGAUGUGAGGCUUGGCAAGACUGUGGGAAAGUGGACAAGAAGCCCACCGUCCACUGCUGGCCCUGGAGGCUCCCCUGGGCUGGAUCAAGAAUUGUCCCUGCUGGGCAGGGGCCAGUGAGCCCCUCACCCCUACCUCCCACCCCCAGUGAGCCCACAGCCCCUCACUUACCACCCCGUCCUCAGCGGGUGCAUUAUCCCCAACCACCAGCAUCACGGGGCAGCUGCAGAUACAGAGG
rnacentral:lncRNA from 10 species